rnacentral:lncRNA from 1 species
CCUGAUCCUCAACUUCCUCCUCCGCCCCAUUGAAAUCUGCAUCAAACUCAUCCUCCUGCUUCAGAUUCCUGCCAUCGGAGCGAUACUUGACUGACUCUGGCAUCUCGAUCUCCAGCUCUUCAUCCUCUUCCUGAUCCUCAACUUCCUCCUCAGCCACAUUGAAAUCUGCAUCAAGAUCAUCAUCCUCCUCCUUCACAUUCCUGCCACCGGAGCAAUACUUGACUGACUCUGGCGUCUCGAUCUCCAGCUCUUCAUCCUCUUCCUGAUCCUCAAUUUCCUCCUCAGCCACAUUGAAAUCUGCAUCAAGCUCAUCCUCCUCCUUCACAUUCCUGCCACUGGAGCGGUACUUGACGGAUUGUGGCGUCUCGAUCUCCAACUCUUCAUCCUCUUCCUUAUCCUCAAACUCCUCGUCCCCAUCAAAAUCC